rnacentral:rRNA from 1 species
AUUGAACGCUGGCGGCAGGCCUAACACAUGCAAGUCGAACGGUAACAGGGAUCAGCUUGCUGAUUCGCUGACGAGUGGCGGACGGGUGAGUAAUGUCUGGGAAACUGCCUGAUGGAGGGGGAUAACUACUGGAAACGGUAGCUAAUACCGCAUAACGUCGCAAGACCAAAGAGGUGGACCUUCGGGCCUCUUGCCAUCGGAUGUGCCCAGAUGGGAUUAGCUAGUAGGUGGGGUAACGGCUCACCUAGGCGACGAUCCCUAGCUGGUCUGAGAGGAUGACCAGCCACACUGGAACUGAGACACGGUCCAGACUCCUACGGGAGGCAGCAGUGGGGAAUAUUGCACAAUGGGCGCAAGCCUGAUGCAGCCAUGCCGCGUGUAUGAAGAAGGCCUUCGGGUUGUAAAGUACUUUCAGCGGGGAGGAAGGGAGUAAAGUUAAUACCUUUGCUCAUUGACGUUACCAGCAGAAGAAGCACCGGCUAACUCCGUG